AAUGCCCUCACCGGUUGUCCCCGUUAUUAAACCCUUGUUGUUAAAAGAAUUCUCCCUCGAGCCCCCUUUAAGGCGAUGGGAACCCUCAGUGACAGUUUGACAACCGGAGAACUCGCAGGCCGCCAUUCUCCUCCUCACACUCUUCCUGGUCUGUGGCAUCCUCUUAAGGUUGGCCUCCGGGGCGGAGGCCCCGGUGGGAGAACCCCUCGGAGAGAUGCGGGGGA
rnacentral:lncRNA from 1 species